UAUUCUCGUAUCUGCUCAUUACACUUUGACAGUCAGUGUGACAGGUCUAUUCUUUUUCCUUACAAUAAUUUUAAAGAGUCCUCUAAGAAAAGAACAACUUGUAACUCCAGCAACACAGCCAAGCCUGUUCAAGAUGGGAUCGAACCAGUGACGGAAUCUUGUGCAAUAUCCACACAAACCUCAGCUGAGUCAUGCAUCUAUGAAGAUGACUCAACUAUAUGUUGUUUGUGAAGUGGAGCUUUCUGAUGCAAAUUCUAAUGUUUUAAUCAGUGGUCAGAAGUUUGAAGAUGCUGAAAGAAGUCCCUCAUUAUCA